CAUGACGACAAUUUUACUGCUGAUAUCGCCAUUGCUGUGCUAUCAUACUGCUAUCAUAUCGUCUCUUUUCUGCUGUUAUUUGCCUGGUAUUUUGCUCUUCAUCGUAUACACCAUGAGCUCCUACGCCCAAGCUGUUGACCUCGUGAUCAGGUUCCCCUUGAACUUUGACAUCUGGGCCCCUCCUCGCCAAGUAGAAGAUCUGCUGCCCCCCACUCGCUACUAGUGUAUCACUGAGCAGCCCUCGACUCCAUCUGUGUAUCGCGCCUGUUAUAAA